CUGCUAGUCGGUCGGCCUUGAGAGGGGACUGCUUUGGCUGCCAGCUCACUGCCUUUUUGUUUACUUUUUGUGCCUUGGAUGAUUCCUGGAGACAGAGAAGUGCGCUAAUGAGACGCGUCUUUCUCACAUAGCACCCACACAUCUGCUUUUUACCCGGAUCAACAAACAGUAAUAAUGACUGAAUGUACAAGUCUUCAGUUUGUCAGCCCUUUUGCUUUUGAGGCAAUGCAGAAGGUGGAUGUUGUUUGCCUGGCAUCUUUAAGUGAUCCAGAAUUAAGACUUCUUCUGCCCUGUUUGGUACGGAUGGCACUUUGUGCACCUGCUGACCAGAGCCAAAGCUGGGCUCAGGAUAAGAAACUCAUCCUUCGCCUUCUUUCUGGAGUGGAAGCUGUCAACUCCAUUGUUGCAUUG
rnacentral:lncRNA from 1 species